GUGAAUCAUCGAAUCUUUGAACGCACAUUGCGCCCCUUGGCAUUCCGAGGGGCAUGCCCGUUCGAGCGUCAUUAUAACCCCUCAAGCCUAGCUUGGUGUUGGGGCCUGCUGUUACCGGCAGCCCUUAAAAUCAGUGGCGGUGCUAUCUGGCUCUAAGCGUAGUAAUACUUCUCGCUACAGGGUCCCGGUGGAUGCUUGCCAUCAACCCCAAAUUUUCUAUGGUUGACCUCGGAUCGGGUAGGGAUACCCGCUGAACUUAAGCAUAUCAAUAAGCGGAGGA
rnacentral:misc_RNA from 1 species